rnacentral:rRNA from 1 species
AUUGAACGCUGGCGGCAUGCUUUACACAUGCGAGUCGAACGGUAACAGGCCGCCAGGUGCUGACGAGUGGCGAACGGGGGAGUAAUGCAUCGGAACGUGCCCAGUCGUGGGGGAUAACUACUCGAAAGAGUAGCUAAUACCGCAUACGAUCUAUGGAUGAAAGCGGGGGACCGUAAGGCCUCGCGCGAUUGGAGCGGCCGAUGUCAGAUUAGGUAGUUGGUGGGGUAAAGGCUCACCAAGCCAACGAUCUGUAGCUGGUCUGAGAGGGCGACCAGCCACACUGGGACUGGGACACGGCCCAGACUCCUACGGGAGGCAGCAGUGGGGAAUUUUGGACAAUGGGCGCAAGCCUGAUCCAGCAAUGCCGCGUGCAGGAAGAAGGCCUUCGGGUUGUAAACUGCUUUUGUACGGAACGAAACGGCUCUGGUUAAUACCCGGGGCUAAUGACGGUACCGUAAGAAUAAGCACCGGCUAACUACGUG